rnacentral:rRNA from 1 species
AUUGAACGCUGGCGGCAUGCUUUACACAUGCAAGUCGAACGGUAACAGGCCGCAAGGUGCUGACGAGUGGCGAACGGGUGAGUAAUGCAUCGGAACGUGCCCAGUCGUGGGGGAUAACGCAGCGAAAGCUGCGCUAAUACCGCAUACGAUCUAUGGAUGGAAAGCGGGGGACCGUAAGGCCUCGCGCGAUUGGAGCGGCC